UUUCGUCAUCAUGAUUAGGUGACAUCAUCAGUGAGAGUCUCCGCUGAAGCGCUGGUGGUUUGUCCUGUCUCUCUAUUUAUACGUUUUUGUUAAGGGAUCAUCUCCUUAGUCUGCCAUGAUAAUCAACACGAUCUGUGUAUCAGCAGUGACUGUGGGUGAACAUGUCAGGGUCAGAACCACAUGAACCUAAACCUGCUUUUCGCAUCAGAGAGCGGCGGGAGCUGGGCGGAAGUGAAGUCGGAGCGCAAAGCCGAUCGGGAAGAUUAGAAUCAAUCUAAACAUCAUGGCAUAGACAGACAACACCGGGGGCGAACGUCUUCAACAUAUUGUCUAGCUAUCACUCAAUGUUACAGCUAACCUGAGAAUGCAACUUUCAAAGAAAAAGGUUUUGUGAUUUACACAUGAAAGAAAUGAAACUACCAUGGUAUUCGAACAGAUGAAAGACUCAACAGACAAUUAAGGUAUUUUAAAAUGUAUAAAUUCAAUUACAUCAGACUGUAAAUAUUUGCUAUAAAUUCUGUGUUACGGUCGAGCCC